GAUGAACGCUGGCGGCGUGCCUAAUACAUGCAAGUCGAGCGAACGGACGAGAAGCUUGCUUCUCUGAUGUUAGCGGCGGACGGGUGAGUAACACGUGGAUAACCUACCUAUAAGACUGGGAUAACUUCGGGAAACCGGAGCUAAUACCGGAUAAUAUUUUGAACCGCAUGGUUCAAAAGUGAAAGACGGUCUUGCUGUCACUUAUAGAUGGAUCCGCGCUGCAUUAGCUAGUUGGUAAGGUAACGGCUUACCAAGGCAACGAUGCAUAGCCGACCUGAGAGGGUGAUCGGCCACACUGGAACUGAGACACGGUCCAGACUCCUACGGGAGGCAGCAGUAUGGAAUCUUCCGCAAUGGGCGAAAGCCUGACGGAGCAACGCCGCGUGAGUGAUGAAGGUCUUCGGAUCGUAAAACUCUGUUAUUAGGGAAGAACAUAUGUGUAAGUAACUGUGCACAUCUUGACGGUACCUAAUCAGAAAGCCACGGCUAACUACGUG
rnacentral:rRNA from 1 species